UUUUGAUCCCAAAUUGCAUGUAUUAAGUCAUUAUUAAUUUAUCUCACAUUUCUUAUUAAUCAAAGACAUAGAUAGCUGCCCCUCAGAGCUUCUGAUCUGUGUGACCAGCUGGGAGCUGCACGUGGUUGACAUAAUUCCAGCCAGAGGCAAAGGAACUCCGCAAUGUGUGUGGUCUGGGUGGCCUGAGAAGGUCUAAAUGUAGAUGCAUCGUCCUCCUUUUCUUUUCAUCGGCCAUGAGCCUUGCCUGGGUGGGGGCUGCUUUCACAGUCACUCACUGAUGGGCCAGAGGCUGAGUUUUCAGUGCCAGGCUCUAGCAAGGGUCCCCGUGCGGGUCCCAGACUCCUCCUCCCACAGAACUCACUCCAAAUAGAUGGCAUGCACCAGCACCACGCAGAAGAGCGUGGGGUUCACCUAGUGGGACGUGGCAGAGCUGUCUUCAUGCGGGUCCCACAGGCUCUGGCUGGAGAUUGCCAUGUUGUCCUACCCCUCGCUCCUGAUGCUGACAGAGCACACUAGCUUGUAGCCGGGCCGGGUGACAGCCGUGACGAGGUCCCAGGUCGCGGUGCUCAGCACCACUGCCAGGUGAGAGGGCAGGCCACAUUGGCAAGCUUGGAGGGCAGGUGAGCCUCCAUCAGCUCUUCCUCCCACACUCAGGGGAACUUCAACUCUGGCCUGGCCGACCGCAAGGGAACCCAGAAGGAGGAGAGGAGGGAGGUGAUGGUGGGAGAACAUGGAAUUUGGGUUUGAAGCCCAUUAUGUUGAACAUAGACCCCUGAGUUGGAGCCUACAGUUUGGAAUAGUGGGAUGGAAAAUGGAACACAGAACCUGGAACACAAGAAAAUAACUUUGUCUUCUGCUGUGCAGAGAUUAACCUGGCUUCCAAGUGGCUCAGCCUAUAUGUGCCCUGGGGCCCAUGGCCCUGACUCCCCUCGCUCUCCCUGCACCCCUAGGCCACUGGCCCCCACCUGCUCCUGGAUGAUGCUGACGGGGCCGUGGCAGAGAAACGGAUGCCUGAGAGAGAGCAGCCAGGGGAGAAAGCGGUGUCCUUGCUUGAGCACGGAGCUCCUGGGUCACCUCCCCCCACCGCCCCGUCGAGUGCCCUGGCCAGCCAGCAAGUGCUGAGGCAGCAUCUGUGGGGGGCAGCAGGAGUCUCUGUCAAGAAGUGACAACCCUCAGAGAGCUGCCCCCGAACCUCCAGAAUGUCUCCACUGGCUCCAGCUGGCCAGCCCUGAAGCCUGUCCAAGUCUCCCCGUGUUAACAGAACAGAGCGACAGCCUGCCUCCCCUCACGGCUGCAGAGGAGCGCCCAGCCAUCGCAGCCUCUGGCUCCCUGGAAUGCCGCCCCCUGCCUCCCUCCCCUCGCCCUCCACCCACUGCCGUCCUGCACCCAGCACGUGCUCUCCAUAAGUCCCUGGUGUACAGAGGUCAUUUUUCAGCAGCGUUGGAUGCCGUUGUCAAUUCCCUCCUUUCGGAGCCUCAGUUUCCUCAAUGGCAUAAUUCCUACCUCACUAGAUUACCCUGAGGACUAAGUAACUCCUUCAUUCAUGUUUUCGGCAAACAUUUCUGAACACCCGCUUGUGUGCAGGCUUUCUGCUGGGCUCUUGAGGACCCUGACUUUGGAGAUGGCCACAGUCUCCCGGGGGCCACAGAUGCUGGUAUAAACAAUGUGAAGAGCCUGGCACUCUGCCUGUGACAUAGUAGACACUCAGUGUGUGUGGGGCUCUGUCGUGUCUUUCUGCCCCCUCUGGGCCUCAGUUUCCAUAGCCAGAAAUGGAUAGGAAGAGGGGGUUGGACUUGCUCUCUGAAGUCCCCUCCAGCCCUGGUGGCCCAAGGCCCUGGGCCCCACUUCUCAGGCUGCCUCGUGUGUCCCCUACCCCCAGCCCGUCCCUCUCACCUUGAGCUCCCAGGUGAGCCUGUGAGCAGGGAGGAGGCUGCCGAGGCCAAGCAUGGCAGCUUCUACUUCUGGACUCUCUGAAGCUUGGCUGCUCCCUUCUUAACGGGGGACCUGAUGAGGGAGCACUGCUCCCCUGCCCAGGAUGGGCUGUGGCCUGAGAGGAACAUAGGUGGGCAGGUUGGAGGCAGGAGGGACCUGGCUUCUCAAGGAGGAAGGCUGCAGGGUGCUUGGCCCACUCAGCCACUCCAGGCAUCCCCAACCCUCGGCCCCAGUCGCGCCCAGUGCCGACCUCCUCUUCCUCCCUACACAUGGUCUCGGCAAGGGUAGAACCAGUGUCGGGGUGGGAAGGCAGGCCUCUGAGCUGGUCAGGCGUAGGUUCAAGUGUCUGCUCUGUGCACGAGCAGCUGUGUGAUCUCGGGCAAAUCACCUCACUUCUCUGAACACCACUUUCCUCCUCCCUAAGCUGGGGACACUUCUAUUCCAUCUCUCAACAGAUAUCCCCAAGUGCUUAAUCUAUGCUGUGGACUGAAAGACAGCGGCAACAGCGUGCAGACCCCUGCUGUCCCAGUAGUGGCGUGCUGGGGGAGACAGAUGGCUGACAGCCAGGGCCUCACAGGGCAGUCCUGAUCCAGGGCUGUUUGGAAAUGUUGGGGACACUAACACCUCCUCACAGAGCUGCGAGGCUCGAGUGGGAUAAGGUGCACAAGGUAGCACGCGUUGGCCUGGCAGAUGGUGGGUGCUCAAUCAGUGCUUGUUGGAUAAAUGAACCAAUAAAAGCACUUCUCUCUGAGCCCUGAUUACCAGUGAAAUGGAGCUGAGGGUCCUUUCCUUGGAAAGUUGUUAUAAAGGUUUCUAACUUUGUUUAAAUUAAUGAAUUUAAAUUAAUAAAUAGAGCUUACUACAUGCCAUGUACUCUUCUCCUAAACCCUUUGCAAGUUUUAACUCAUUAUUCUCAUUUUACAGAUGAGGAGACUGAGGCACAGAGGGUAAGGUUAAGGAACCUGCCCAAGGUCCCAUAGCUCGGAUGUGGCUGGAUAUGAAUGUGCCUGGCAAACAGUAGGAGCUCAAUAGUUGCUUUAUUGUGGGGCAGGGAGGUUUUAGGCUUGGUAUCCAGUGCAAGCUGGGUGGUCAGGAAGGCUCCCAUGCUGAGCUGUUCUCGGUACCUGAGCUCUGGGUGUGAAUGAGUAGCUGAGGGGAGUUGGUGAGGAGUGGAGGGUGGUGGGAAGGAUGAGAAGGGAUGAGGACAAGGGGGCCAGGGGUGUAAGUGGCAGCAGUAAAACACUUCAGACAACACCCUGGAGUCAUAAUCCCGGAGCAGCCACUCCGGCAGCCUCUCCUGAGUCAGGGAAGGGUGCCAGGGCAGGAUCCCAUAGUAAC
rnacentral:lncRNA from 1 species